UACGUAGGGUGCGAGCGUUAAUCGGAAUUCCUGGGCGUAAAGCGUGCGCAGGCGGUCCGCAAAGUCUGAUGUGAAAGCCCCGGGCUCAACCUGGGAACUGCAUUGGAAACUAACGGGCUCGAGUGUGGCAGAGGGGGGUGGAAUUCCACGUGUAGCAGUGAAAUGCGUAGAGAUGUGGAGGAACACCGAUGGCGAAGGCAGCCCCCUGGGCUAACACUGACGCUCAGGCACGAAAGCGUGGGGAGCAAACAGG
rnacentral:rRNA from 1 species